AGUAUAGUCACGGUACUGCGAUGUUGAGUUCAGGUUGAACUCCUGAAUUUCUUGUUCUGCAUCCCACCCACCAAUAUUUGAUGUUUAUUAAAACUCCAGAGCCAUCUACAACAGGCUCUUUCUGCCUGGACCUAGCCACAUCCUGUACAUUUUGUUGGAGCAGUCUUCUGUGACGAAGCCCACUAGAAUGUUAUUAGACUUUAAGGUAUUUUAUUUAGGCUUGCUGAGAAUUGGUGUGGUGGAUAGCUCUGUCUGGAUUCCGUGCUUCCUUACUUCCCAUAUCUUCCUUAAAAGUUGUAUGGAAUGUAAAGAAGUAUGGAGUGUUGACGGAGUGUUACAACAUCAACGACGGAGUGUUGCAAUAUCAACUUUCGAUGUAAAAUCAAAAUCUGAAUGAAACGAACUGAAAUUAUCGUAUGGUAUCUCUGAUGGAAACUAGCACGGAAACUGUGAAAACAUACUGUAUUUGAAUGGAAUUAUGAGAAACACCUUAAUUGCUGUUAAAUAACUACAAAUAAACUGAACUGAUUAAAUAACUGACUGGGUGAAGUAGUUCAUGAAAUUCAGUUUAUGUUGAAAGACCGAUAAAGUUUCUUAUGAAGAAUUCAGAAUUUUUUUAUAAUUAAAGCACGUGAUGUUAUGCUUUUAAAACAUCAUGGGAUGGCAGAAAAUAACGAUGCGCCGUGUCUAACAAAGUUCUACUACGCAUCUAAAUUUCUUAGUAUUCUUAUCUAAAAUCAACAUUCAGUCUAUAGUUUAAUAGGAAAUUUAUUAGAAUGUCAAAGCAAAUUAAUCUAAUCUAGAAUCUGUUUAGCAUUGCUUCAGCAGCAUUCGAGCUGCAAGCUGCAUCAUACAAAUCGAAAGUAUUUUUUACACUGCUGCCAUUUAGUGUUUUCUAAAUCAAUACCCAUCUACUGAUUUUUGCGCUGCCAUUCAGAGGUAGAGAAAAGUGUCUAUUCAAACCGGAAUAAAUGCGUAUAAGUAAUUUUAAUUAAAUAUUUGCUUUACAAUUUCUUUUUUUUUUUUUUUCCCUCUCAUAUUCUCUUUUACAAUUUCUGUGAUUCUCUUACUGCAAUUAUUUCAGUUUGCUUUAUCAUUGUGUAUGGCUCAUGGCAUUCUAGUCUCAUUGAGUUUUUCGUUUGGGGGGGGGUAGCGGAGAGGAUUUGUGAAUAAUAGUACAGUAGAAUUUCUGUUAACUGAGACCCUAGCUAUUUUGGAUAACCUUUUCCGGGUGCCUGUUUUCUGUAAACCAUAUGAGUAUUAAUGUAUACGGUAAAGAAUUAUUUUCCUAUUUCUGAAGUAAAGGAAUUAUUUUUGCUUUCUUGUUUUAUUUCAAUGAAGAUCGCAUAUAACAACCCAUUUCUAAAAACAGCGAAAUAACUUUUUUUGUUUCACAUAAUGGUCCUAAAAUUAAAGAAAAUAAUAUUGAGUUUAUUUUUGAAAGUACUUAAAUUAAGAGAGGAAAUUUCUUCUUUAUUGCGAAAGCAAAGUACUUUUAUACAACAUGUACUUCUGUUUAAUUAAAAUGAAUGGUAGUCUCAUUUAUAUAAUCUGUUUUUAGAAAGGAGCAGUUAUUAUGACUAAGUUAAGAUCUUGUGGAAUAAACAGACAGCAGUAGUCUUGUCGUUUUUCUUUUAAUGUUUGUGAACUACAUAAUUUCCGAAUAAUAAGUGGUAGUAUGUUAUGUGAUGACAUUGAAAGAAGUUAGCGCAUUUUCCCUUGUAUACUCUCGUUGUAUAAAUGGUUAGCACAUUUAGAUAGCAAUUAAGAUCCUUGUUCCGAUGUCAGCCACACAAGUUUAUUUUUCAUAUUUUUUGGUGUAAAAUUUCUCAA